UUGGUGGAUUUGGAGACUUCAACUUGCAGACUUGGAAAAUUUAAUAACAUCAACUUGUAGAUUUUGUAAAUCUAAAGACUCCAGCU
rnacentral:pre_miRNA from 1 species